CCAAUCAGCGCUCGGGGGCGGGGCCAGCGCGGUUUGAGGCGGAAGCGGCGCCGCUGUCGGGGGGGAGGGGGCGGCGACAGCGCCGCGAUCGCGACAGAGGCGACAGAAAAACCCCCCGGGACCCCCCCGCUGUCGCGACAGGUGUCCCCAUGCCGCGCCGCCUGCUGUCCCUGCUCCUGGCCCCCACUCGGUUCCUGCUGUCCCUCUGUCCCCAGGUGUCCCCAGGUGUCCCCGUGUCUCCAGGUGUCCCCAUGCCGCGCCGCCUGGUGUCCCCAUGUCCCUCUGUCCCCAUGUCCCCAGGUGUCCCCAUGUCCCUGUCCCUCUGUCCCCAGGUGUCCCCAUGUCCCCAUGUCCCUGUCCCUCUGUCCCCAGGUGUCCCCACUGUCCCCAUGCCUCACCGCCUGCUGUCCCCAUGUCCCCAGGUGUCCCCAUGUCCCCAUGUCCCUGUGUCCCCAGGUGUCCCCAUGUCCCUGUGUCCCCAGGUGUCCCACUGUCCCCAUGCCGCGCCGCCUGCUGUCGCUGCUCCUGGCCCCCACGCGGUUCCUGCUGUCCCCAUGUCCCUCAGUCCCCAUGUCCCUGUCCCCAUGUCCCUGUGUCCCCAGGUGUCCCCAUGCCGCGCCGCCUGCUGUCGCUGCUCCUGGCCCCCACCCGUCUCCUGCUGUCGCUGCGCUCGCUGCUGGCCCGCGGUGGCCUCGCGGUGGCCGCGGUGGCCUCGGGGGUGGCCUUUGCGCUGUGGGCGGCGGCGCUGCUGCUGCGCCGCGGGCCCCGCGCGACCCUCGCGUGGCACCGGAGGGACAGCGCCCCCCCCGGGCUGCGGGACGGCGCCUUCGGGGAGCACCGGCACCUGCGGCUCCGGAGCUCGGGGCUGCGUCUCCAUUACGUCACUCGGGGUCCCCCCGGCGCCCCCCUGAUGCUGCUGCUCCACGGCUUCCCCCAGAACUGGUCAGUGCCACCAAGGUGUCCCCAGAUGUCCCCCAGGUGUCGCCAAGUGUCCCCAAAUGUCCCCCUUGGUGUCCCCAGGUGUCUCCCAGGUCUCCCAUGGAUCCCCCAAGGUGUCCCUGAGUGUCCUCAGGUGUCCCCAAGUGUCACCUGGGUCCCUCAAGUGUCCCCCUGUCCCCCAGCUGUCCCCACAACCGGCUGUCCCCAUCCCCUUGGUGUCACUGCUGUCCCCAAGGUGUCCCCAAGGUGUCCCCAAGGUGUCCCCAGAUGUCCCGAGGUGUCCCCAAG